GAUGGCAUUGAUGAGUAUAUACAGACCUGUAAUGAUGUUUGCGGACAUGAUCGCAUAUUUAAUGAACAUCUAAGGGACUGAGCUGUC
rnacentral:snoRNA from 1 species